rnacentral:rRNA from 1 species
UGACAGGGAGACAGGUGGUGCAUGGUUGUCGUCAGCUCGUGUCGUGAGAUGUUGGGUUAAGUCCCGCAACGAGCGCAACCCUUGUCCUUAGUUGCCAGCAUUCAGUUGGGCACUCUAAGGAGACUGCCGGUGUCAAACCGGAGGAAGGUGGGGAUGACGUCAAGUCCUCAUGGCCCUUAUGUCCAGGGCUACACACGUGCUACAAUGGCCGGUACAAAGGGGCGCAAGACCGCGAGGUGGAGCAAAUCCCAAAAACCGGUCUCAGUUCGGAUUGGAGUCUGCAACUCGACUCCAUGAAGUUGGAAUCGCUAGUAAUCGCGGAUCAGCAUGCCGCGGUGAAUACCGGUUCCCGGGCCUU